ACCAAGGAUUUCAGUGGCUUGCUUCUUCACUGGAGAUUCUUCACCUCCGAAGAUGUAUGGUCCAAUCAAAGAGCUCAUAUCAGAAGAAAACCCCCCACUAUAUGAAGACUUUCUAGUAGCUGAUUAUUUCGCUAAGUAUUUGUCCAGGCCUCUUGAUAAUACUGGUCUUGAUCUUUUCAGACUGUGAAUAGAGACCGAUAACCACAUCGCCAAGCAGCAGCUAAAAUAACGAUAUACCAUCAGGAUACUAUCAUCAUUCAGACAGAACAAUGUCAGAGUUUGCAAUUCACAGUACAAUAAUGUUUUUUUAACAAUGUCUUUCUAAUUCUUCUGUUUAUUUUCAAAUAAAGGGAUAAAUUUCAAGAACAUACUCCCUUGUGUAUCCUUCAAUUUGUUCCUAUGACACUGUUAUGCACUAUCAUCACCUUCUAGCAAAAUUAGAUCAGUUAUGUAUGGGAUCCAGUGGAUCUUUCAAGUGAUCACUAUUAACUGCUGUCUUAGUUGCUUUAGUUUCAAUACAUAUUUCACAUUGUUAUUAUUAUUUGAGUCUAAACCAAGAAACUGCGUGUUCUUUAUAUACGGGACAUUAACAUGUCCUAAUCUACUAGGCAACAAAGAUAUAGACUCAAUCAUAUAAGCAGAAGUAGAUGCAUUUUCACUUAUAUCAUCUAAAAUAUUAAGCACAAAUAAGCCAUGGCUAUAUAAUUCCUUGCCAACAAAGAUCCCCUCCUAUAUGAAGAAUUUACAGUAACUGAUUACAUUGCUAAGUUUAUGUCCAUGCCUCUUGGUAUAUCUGCCCUUGACCUUUUCAGACUUGUGAAGAGACACCAAAAGCUACAUUACCAAGCAGCGACAAACGCCAUCAGUAUAGUCCUUCAUAAAACCUAUGAUUGUUAUUACAUUAAAGUAUGUUCUUAUGUGUACAAUAAUGUUUUACACAUGAGUACUGGAGGAAUAUGCAGCUUAUCCCCAUUUAUUUAUUCUGCACUCUUUCUGUUUCCAAUGUGUGAAUUUUUUUUAAUCAUAUGCUCAGCCUUCUAACUCCUUUUGCAUCUAACCCCAAUAGGAUUUUCCAGAAAUCCAUGUGGUGUAUUUAUGGAUUCUGUGCAACAUGUCCACCUAACUUCAUUAGUUUAUAGUAAAAAACAUUAAACUAAUAUUUUACAGAAUUCUAGGACAGAGUGAUACCCAGAUCUCAAGUCUUAACUUCAAACUAAUUAUAAAAGAUAUACUCCCUCUGUCCCUUUUUACUUUUCAUUUUUGACAAAUCAAGAAAAUAUAAUAUUUUUUACCUAUUAUACCCUCAAGUUAUUUAGAAAGUUAAUGUUUUUGAAAAAGGUAGAACCACAGGGUAAAAUGAUAAACUCACUAUGUCAAUUAUUAUUUUCUUUAUAUGUAUGUCAAAGUAAAAAAUAGACAAGUAAAUAGAGACAAAGCGAGUAUGUUUCUUCUGAAUAUUCAAGAGUUGACCUUGUUGAAAUUAAGAAGAAAAGAUAUCCGGCACUGAAGAGUACUCUCAGGCUGAAUUAGAAAUGGAUUAUGAUCCAUCAAAUGAGAAAAAGGCUAUUGAUGAUACAAAAACCGGUGUUAAAGGACUAGUUGAUUCUGGAAUAGUGGAUAUUCCAAGAAUUUUCAUUAGGCCAUCUCAUGAACUUGCUGAGGAGUUGCUGGAAUAGUGGAGAUUCUUCUUGGCUUACUAUCAGAAGCUCUCGGGCUAAAGUCAAACCACUUGAAAGCCACCGAAUGUGACAAAGGACAAAUGUUGGCAUGCCAUUAUUACCCGGCAUGCCCACAGCCAGACCUAACUCUUGGUACUGGUAAGCAUACAGAUCCUGUUUUCCUUACAAUUCUGCUUCAAGAUCAAAGUGGUGGGAUCCAAGUCAUGUGUGAUAACCAAUGGGCCGAUGUUACACCGAUUGAAUAUGGUUUGGUUGUUAAUAUUGGUGAUCUCCUUCAGGUUUGCAACAAAGCAUAACUUUUUGUUCUCAUUUUUUCACAAAUUAUUACUCAACUCAAACUAAUUUUGUAACAGAUCGUAUCAAAUGACAAGUUUGUAAGUGCAAUUCAUAGAUUUGUAGCAACUAAGGUAGGACCAAGGAUUUCUGUGGCAUGCUUCUUCAGUUCGGUAUCUCCAAAGAUGUUUGGUCCAAUCAAAGAGCUCAUAUCGGAAGAAAAGCCCCCACUAUAUAAAGACUUUCUAGUAGCUGAUUAUCUUGCUAAAUUUUUCUCCAAACCUCUUGAUAAGACUGGUCUUGAUCUUUUCAGACUGUGAAUAGAGACCGAGCACAACGUCACCAAGCAGCAGCAAAAACUAUCAGAAAAGACUAUCAUCAUUCAGAC
rnacentral:lncRNA from 1 species